rnacentral:tRNA from 1 species
GUCAUCAUGGUGUAGCCGGAAGCACAUCUGCCUUCCAAGCAGACAGGACGGGUUCAAAUCCCGUUGGUGACUCCA